rnacentral:rRNA from 1 species
UACGUAGGGUGCGAGCGUUGUCCGGAAUUAUUGGGCGUAAAGAGCUCGUAGGCGGUGUUGUCACGUCGUUCGUGAAAACCUGCAGCUUAACUGUGGCGUGCGGUCGAUACGGGCAUCACUGGAGUUCGGCAGGGGAGACUGGAAUUCCUGGUGUAGCGGUGAAAUGCGCAGAUAUCAGGAGGAACACCGGUGGCGAAGGCAGGUCUCUGGGCCGAUACUGACGCUGAGGAGCGAAAGCGUGGGGAGCAAACAGG